CUGUCCGACCUUUUUGUGUAUUAAGUCACUAAACCCUCACCUGCGGACGAGGACUUUUUAAUGAGGAGGACGCUGAGGCACAGAGGGAAAGGGCCACUUGUCAAGGGUACACGGACAGAAGGGGGUGGCGUCAAGAUUUGAACUCAGAACAGACUGCGGCCGCUCCACGGUCAGACCAUUCGGAUCUUUACAAAGAUGAAACGGUAACAGGCGUGUGUGUUGAGAGUACUAUGCUCACGACCACCAUCCACGAUGAUUAUUCACCACGUUUUGUUCUGAAGAGAGAUCUGUCCUGGGAGUUUGGGCCCAUUCAUUCAUCUAAUUUCCAGUUGUCAAAAAGAAUAUUGAAGAGGUUGAAAGGAUCCCCUCCAAACUCCUUCCUGGUCUUUGGAGAACUACUGCCAUUUAAAAUGUUUUAAACAUAUAUAGGGGCCACUCUCGGGAUUAUUGCUGAGGAAGAACCAAGAGACUGACACGAGGGAGAGAUGGGUGGGGUACUCCACUGUGCCAGCUCAGAGGACAGACGCCAUUAACAAGAAAAAGCAUUUGGAAAAACGGCAAAGAAUAUGUUAUGGUUGGAAUGCCAAGGACAAGGGCAGCAGGAGGCAGAAUUUAGCCUUGCCAGGAUAUUUGGCUUUGAUUCUCUGGAACAGGAGGAGUCACUGAAGGUUUGUAAGCAGGGAAGAGAUGGAUGGGGGAGGAAGAGGUAGAGGAAGCUCAGAGGGUGAAUUCUGGGUAAAUUGACUUUUCAGUCUCUUAAGAACCACGAGGUGGAGAAGAGGGUAGGCAGCUUAGCUGGGAGAGUGGGUUGUGAGUGACCACAGGGCUCUGAUGGGGCCUGACAGGACAAUGACUGCUGGGUACCAACUCCUGACAGAGGAAGAAGAGCCACCAAGAGAGGCUGAAAAGCCAUGGGGAAGGAAGCUUAGUUUUGAGAACAGUAAGGAGGAGGUGGUUAAGAUGGAAGGUGGCUAAGAGAAUGAGGUUGUAAACAGAGCCUGGGGUUUGGCAAAUAAGAAGCCAAGGGUGACCUAAGUGAUAGAAUUUUCAGGGCACAGUGGGGCCAGAAGGCAGGUGGGUGAGACCACCUGUAAGUGGUCACUGAAGGGGUAUUGACAGGGAGGGAGCAGCUCUUCCAGGAAGUCUAGCAGUAAAUGGAAGGAGAAGACAGGUGAAUGAUGAAAGAGGCGCUGCACUGCUGACAGGCUCCUGUCUCAGCGUUCUUGACGGCUGAAGGAAGGUGCCCAAUGCAGAGAGAGGACUGCGCCAGACUCCUAUUGUUUCCUAAAAUUAAAAAUAAUGCUUUAAAUAAGGAGCCUCCUCUGACCCCUCUGAGCCAAGCUUCAGCCAGGCCCCAUGCUGACAGCUGUCCAGGUGACCCAUUUUGGGUUUGUGGCAUCUGCAUAAAGAUGGUUUGUUCUGACCUGGCUUUUGGCUGGAAAAGUCCCAGGUUCCAGCAGCCCACCAGAGGCUCAGCCACUUUGUCUCAUCUUCCUCAGGCCUCCAGAAGGGGCCCUGGGUUUGGGCUGUCCCAGGCUGUAGCAGUCUCCUUCGCCCAGUUAUAACGAAAAACUGGCUCAACACAUGCCUUCUUGAAUGCUUGGGGCUUUGUGGUCCAAUCACAGCUCAGAGCUGCUCCUCAGGCAAUAGAAAUGCAGAAUAAGUCUUUUUUUUUUUUGACCCCAUUACUUCAAGCUUGUGUGGAUUCUGCCCAAAGAACAAUCCUCAUUCUUUUCUCUUUCUUGCAGUAGAUAUAAGGCAGAAACCACGUUUUACUUACUCUUGAAAAGUGAAAAAGCCUUGGCCCACGGAAAGGACUCAAUAUAAUCUCCCUAAUGUUCAGAGUCCCGGCAAAUCAAUAAGAUAAACAACCUUCAAAAAGGACAGCUGUUGGGAGCUACUCCUGUGCCUGCAGUUUCUCAGAAUAACCAGCUCAAAAUAUGCCAAAAAAAGUAUUAUUUGGGGGUGCCAUAUUCUGAUUUCCUACAGUAAUACUGUGGGGUGGUAAGUCCUGAACCCCAACAGUAGGUGAUACACUCACAUAGUUAAAACAAAAAAUUCAAAGUAAAGUAAGAGGUUCACAGUGAAAAGUCUCACUCCCACCACUGCCUUUAUGGGCCUAGUUCCCUCCACCAAUCCCCAGUGUGCCUACACAGGUAAUGACUUGCAUCAGUAUCCUAUGCAUCCUUCCAGAGUUCCUUUAGGUAAACAGAAGCAACUACAAAUAUAUUGAGUAGACAAUUUUAAGCUGACAUUUUUCUGAGCACUUACAACAUCUUAAGCACUGUUCUGAGCACUUUACAAAUGUUAACUCUCUCCCCACCACAGCCUGGAGAGGUAGGUGCUAUGCCCAUUUUAAAGAAAAUGAAACUAAGGCAAAAAGAGGUUAAGUAGUUUGCCUGAGUGGUUGAGUCCAGCAAUUCACAGCCCUGAGGAAAUGCAGAUGAUCAGUCAACAUCUGAAAAGAUGCUCAGCUGCCUUAGAGGUCAGGGAACUGGAAAUGUAAACACCAACAGCACUCACAGCAUCUCAGUUUUCAUUCAUCCAGCGAGCACACUUCAAAAAAGGCCUGUAACUCUCAGGCUUGGAGGUGGGGGACUGACUGACACUCACAUGUCCUACCAGUGGAGGCAUGAAUUGCUUCAAAUUUGGGGGAAAGCAGUCUGGUAGAAUGUAUUAAAAUGUUUAACACACACAGACCUUUUGACCCCAUUCCUCAGAAGCAAACACUCUAGAAUAUAAGGUUGUAUGUACACAGACGUGCACUGCAGCAUUGUUUGAGAGGCAAAACACUAGAAGCCAUCUGCAUACUCAUCAAGAGGGAAUGGCCGGGUAAAUUACAGUACAUUCAUAGAAGACAAUGUUUACAGCAAUUAUAUAAGUUAGAUCUCUAUAUAUUGAUCUGGAGGGAUGUUUGCAAAAUAUUUUAAGUGAAAAAAGUAAUUUAAUAAUAUUUGUAUAGUAGUACAAAUUAAA